rnacentral:rRNA from 1 species
UACGUAGGGGGCUAGCGUUGUCCGGAAUCAUUGGGCGUAAAGAGCGUGUAGGCGGUCCGGUAAGUCCGCUGUGAAAGUCGGGGGCUCAACCCUCGAAUGCCGGUGGAUACUGUCGGGCUGGAGUGCGGAAGAGGCGAGUGGAAUUCCUGGUGUAGCGGUGAAAUGCGCAGAUAUCAGGAGGAACACCUAUUGCGAAGGCAGCUCGCUGGGACGUAACUGACGCUGAGACGCGAAAGCGUGGGGAGCAAACAGG